rnacentral:lncRNA from 1 species
CUUUUUCCGAGUGAAGAAAUUAAGCCUGAACAAUUACCUCAUAUCAAAUCAAUCAGUAAUAGAAUAAUCAAAAACUGGGCUCACUCUGUGCUGUGUAAGAAAUAGCCAUAGAACUGUCCAGAGUUCGAGCAGCUUUGGGAUGGGUACUUUUGUGGAUACAACGGUGUAUUAAAGUGAUUAUGAGUGUUUCCUUUAAUUUUGUUUGCAAAACAGCCUCCUCUUAGACUCACAAUUAAUUGAAGUUUUGCUAUGAUAAAGAGCUUGGAUGUCAAACUGAUGACAGUAUUUCAGUUAAUGUGGACCUUUUAUAAUGGAGGCAUUUGGAAACUGUGGGAGAUGACAUCACAGAAUUGAUUUCCAGGUACAUUACAAAUCUACUAUGAAAUUACUUUAAUGAAAGGAAAAUAUAGAGGUUACUUAUCUACAUGAUUUAUAUCCAGCUACACCAGUUUUAGGUUGUAGGAGAGUACUGAGAAGUUCUGGGGGGACUGUAGCCAACCUUUCAGACAGGCGACCAUCUCUCACCACUUUCUCUCCCCUCUUCUGCUCCCCACAGCCCCUCCGACAGCACGGAGCUGUCUCCCCACUCCAGGACUCCCGCCUGUCCUUCCCUCAGUCCCCUAGGACAGCUCUUCAGAGACUUCGCAGCACAGCCCAUGCUCCGUGGUCCACACUUAGGGAGAGGUAGCUGGGAGUUCCUGAGCAGGUGGAGCCUGGAGCCCUUCCUCUGCAGCGCCUGUCCUGGAGAGCCCUGUGAAUGCAAAGAAGGGACAUUAAAGGGCUGGAGAG